CAGUCAUGCUAAUAGGGAAUCAACUUGAUGGGUCGUUCCCCCGGGAGCAAUCUUUCUUGUGCACUUCCUUGUUCGGCAGGUUAGCAUCAAUUUCGGUUGUCAUCAAAAAAUUGAGGGAAUGUGACUUCUUUCGGGAAGUGUUAUAGACCUUGAUAUAUGUGGUGACCGGGAUUGAGGAUUGCAGCGGAUGCUUUUGGGCUAGUCACCUACCUUCUGACGGUUACCCUGCUUUCGAUAGCUUGCUAACGAUUGUGGAAUUUAACAGUCUAGAUGUUGGAGUGAUCUUAUAUUCGUUAAGGAUGUUGACGUA
rnacentral:rRNA from 1 species